rnacentral:lncRNA from 1 species
GCUAGUUUUAGUUCUCUUUCUGUUUCUAUUUCAUUACUUGUCUUAUUUUGUAAAACAUAAUAGUUAGAUUUGGGAAUUAUAAGAAAAUGGUUUUAUGCAUGGGGGGAUUUGGUGGAUGAGUUAUGUGCUAAGGUUAAGUAGUAGUACUAUACAUGUCUUGGUUUCCCAUAAAGGGGAUGUUAGUGUCACAUUAGACAUAGGAGAGAUGCUCUAUUGUUUCACUGAACCAUAGAAACGGGAGGGGAUCAAGAAGUCGAAGAGCUGUUUUGUAAUCCCUCCGUUCAAGUUUAUUUGUCCUAAUUUUUUUUUUGGUUUGUCCAAAUCUAUUUGUCCUCUUUCUAAUUUAAUACUGUUUUUGGCAUUGUUUUUUCAAUACUACCCUCAUUAAAUUUAUAAAAAAAAUUCAUUGAAAAUAAUAUGACAUACAUUGGAAAAAGUAGCACUAUUAACUUUGACAUUGGAAGUAACCACACUCUUUUCCCCUUUCUGAUAGACUUCACGGCACUCUUGCGUGAGGUGGUCGUCGCCCGGAUCGUUUCUAGCACAGUUGUUGGGUGAAUUGCUUGCAACACCUUAAUCCCUCGUCUAUACUUUAGACGGUAAUCUUGGUACAAUUGCUCGCGUUCGGAAUCUGCGUUGAAUGGACACCAACGACACCUUGACCCCUCGCUUAUAUUGAAGCGAUAAUCUUGGUACAAUUGCUCGCGUUCGGAAUCUGCGUUGAAUGGACACCAACGACACCUUGACCCCUCGCUUAUAUUGAAGCGAUAAUCUUGGUACAAUCGACGAUUGAUGCGGUAGAAGGCGCCACACACAACUAUGAAUUGUUAUAUGAUAAGUCAAAUUGAAUCUCAAAGAAAUAACUAAGAAUUACUUAUUCUUAGGAAUUCUUCAAAGAACCAAAAG